rnacentral:lncRNA from 1 species
AUGUACUUGAGGGAUGCUGUAGAAAAGGCUUGGAGGAUCCAUGCUGCUGACUGUGAGGAUUCUAAAGUGUGGCCUCUUAUUUUUCAGCAUCCUCUAUGCAAACGCCCAAGGGAAGGGCUUAGCUUAAAUGUGGGUGCUGAGACAAAGUUUCUUCUCUUCCAGGGCUGGAUCCCAAACAGCACAGCAGGUGGACGCUGGGGACAAGACAUGGCAGAGGAGCAAGGCAGUUUCACCUUUACUACUAAUGAUCAUUGCUGUGAGGCAUUUAAAUUGAAAACCAAGUUAGACUCCAACAUUUGGUUUCACGAUAAAUGAAGAGCUGGAAUGAGUAGCGAGCGCUCCCCUGGAUGGUCAGGAGGCUCUGAAGCAGGAGCACUCAGAUUUGCCGAGGCUGCUGUUGAACAGGAUUCAGGCUG